rnacentral:rRNA from 1 species
GACGAACGCUGGCGGCGUGCUUAACACAUGCCAGUCGAACGAAGAGCGAUGGAAGCUUGCUUCUAUCAAUCUUAGUGGCGAACGGGUGAGUAACGCGUAAUCAACCUGCCCUUCAGAGGGGGACAACAGUUGGAAACGACUGCUAAUACCGCAUACGAUCUAAUCUCGGCAUCGAGGAUAGAUGAAAGGUGGCCUCUACAUGUAAGCUAUCACUGAAGGAGGGGAUUGCGUCUGAUUAGCUAGUGGGAGGGGUAACGGCCCACCAAGGCGAUGAUCAGUAGCCGGUCUGAGAGGAUGGACGGCCACAUUGGGACUGAGACCCGGCCCAGACUCCUACGGGAGGCAGCAGUGGGGAAUCUUCCGCAAUGGACGAAAGUCUGACGGAGCAACGCCGCGUGAGUGAUGACGGCCUUCGGGUUGUAAAGCUCUGUUAAUCGGGACGAAAGGCCUUCUUGCGAAUAGUGAGAAGGAUUGACGGUACCGGAAUAGAAAGCCACGGCUAACUACGUG